rnacentral:rRNA from 1 species
AUGUGUCUUCUUGCUCCAGCAUUCAAGUUCCAUUUCAAGGGAGGACGACGUACCAUGAUACUUUAUGUUUUGUCGAGCCCUGCUUUGGUAUCUGGUUUGAUGGUUGUAUGUGCUAAAAAUCCGGUACAUUCCGUUUUGUUUCCCAUCCUAGUCUUUUGCGACACUUCUGGUUUACUUAUUUUGUUAGGUCUCGACUUCUCCGCUAUGAUCUCCCGAGUAGUUCAUAUAGGAUCUAUUGCUGUUUCAUUCCUAUUCGUGGUUAUGAUGUUCAAUAUUCAAAUAGCGGAGAUUCACGAAGAAGUAUUGCGCUAUUUACCAGUGAGUGGUAUUAUUGGACUGAUCUUUUGGUGGGAAAUGUUCUUCAUUUUAGAUAAUGAAACCAUUCCAUUACUACCAACCCACAGAAAUACGACCUCUCAGAGAUAUACGGUUUAUGCCGGAAAGGUACGAAGUUGGACUAAUUUGGAAACAUUGGGCAAUUUUCUUUAUACCUACUAUUCCGUCUGGUUUUUUGUUUCUAGUCUGAUUUUAUUAGUAGCUAUGAUUGGGGCUAUAGUACUUAAUAUGCAUAGGACUAGAAAGGUGAAAAGACAGGAUGUACUCUGA